GAUAAAUUAAAUUAAUAGGGAUCUUAAUUUAAUCUAUCUUGAAUCAUUGGCCUAAUUUAAGUUAGAUCAUCAAUUAUUUCCAAGAGAGUUUAAUUGAUUAAUGGGUGGCCCUUUAACCAACUCGGGUCUCAUCAUUAACAAUAAUCGAUGAGCAAUUAAAAUCCAUAUUAAUUUUAUUUAGAAAACACAAGAAGUAAAGGGGAAAAAAAGCAAAGCAAGGACUUUCAAUUUAACCCAUUUCUAAUUGAUGGAACCACAUGACUUAAUGGAAUAUCAUAAUUUAUUCUAAGCCUAUAUAAAUCAGCAGGAUCCGUAAUUUCAAAUUAAAUUAAUAAGGAUUUCAAUUUAAUCCGUCUCAAAUUAGUUGCCUAAUUUAAGAU
rnacentral:misc_RNA from 1 species